rnacentral:lncRNA from 1 species
UUUUCCGUGUAUACGUAUGUCAUAUAGCAUACGUAAAUAUGUAUGUAUAUAUGUAUGUGUAUGUACGUAUGUAUGAAUGCAUAUAUAUAUAUAUAUAUAUAUAUAUAUAUAUAUAUAUAUAUAUAUACAUAUAUAUAUUGUUCUUAAGCAAGAACAUUGUUGACAGAGACCUGGAACUUUCAGACAGUUAAACUAUCGUCAGAUUGGCUUAACUGGCCGAAAUUUCGAAGUUACUGUCAAAAAUAUUCUUGUUUAAGAAUAAUAAAUUUGUAUUCUACAAAAGUAUAAAGUGACCCAUCAGAUUAAUAGAUUACGGUAUAAAAUUAUAUUUUCUCUAAUUGAACAUAACAAAAGAAACAACACGUGUAUGUAUGUGUGUGUGUGUGUGUGUAAUAUAUAUAUAUAUAUAUAUAUAUAUAUAUAUAUAAUACAUGUAUGUAUAUAUAUAUACAUAUGUAUGUGUGUGUGUUUGUACGUGUGUAUGUAUGCAUGUGUGUAUGUAUGAGCCUGUGUAAACAUACAUACGUACAUACAUGCAUGCAUGCAUGCAUACAUACAUGCAUGCAUGCAUACAUACAUGCAUACGUGCAUGCAUUAAAUAGGCGCACUGUGAUACGCGACGUACAAACCGGCAAGAGUUCCUGACAAUUCGAAUCGGCAAAGGCGGUUUCGAUGCCCGUUUGAAGUACGCACGCUUCACUGGCACCGCAUAUUAUUAUAGAGCGAAGUAAUUCGCGUCAACAACUAUCCAAUUUGCAUUUUCGUAUGAAUAGCAUUGGCAUUUUGCCAACACCUUCACACACACACACACACACACACUCACAUGGAUGUGCGUCUGUGUGUGUGUGUGUGUGUGUGUGUGUGUGUGUGUGUGUGCUUGUGUGUGUGAUAUCUGUAUGAACAUUCAGUAUUAUGAAUAUGCCGACGUUCAUAAAAAUUUAUAAUCUCUGAGCGUGUAUGUAAAUUCUGCCGAUUUAGACUUUGCCUUUCAUCCUUUCGGGAUCGAUCAAGUAAGUACCUGUUGAAUACUGUGGGGUUCGAUGUAAUCGACUUCAGCUCGCCCCAGUAACUGCCAAAAUUUGAGACCAAUAUCUGAGUAUGUGUGCACGUUUGAAUCUUCGUGUAUCUAUCUAUCUAUCUAUCUAUCUAUCUAUCUAUCUAUCUAUCUAUCUAUCUAUCUAUCUAUCUAUCUAUAUAUAUAUAUAUAUAUAUAUAUAUAUACGUACAUAUAUGUUUAUAUAUUUGCAUAUAUUUUAUUAACAUAUAUAUAUAUAUAUAUAUAUAUAUCUAUAUAUACAUCUAUCUGUCCAUCUAUCUGUCAGUCAGUCUGUUCAGAUAUAUAUGCACGUUGUGUAUGUAAGUAUAUAUGUCAGAAUACAUGUACAAACACACACACACACAUACACACACACACGCGCAUAUAUUUAUAUAAGUUCCAAAAUUUAAACUGAAACACAGCAAAUGAACAAACGAAAUAAAUCACACAAGAGACAGAACGUUACUCAUUCCUCGUCAGUUAUCGUCGAAAAUAUCCUUACAAUAUACAUAUAUACAUACAUAAAUAUAUUAGUGUCCCAUAAAAUAAUUCUUAAAGUUAAAACAUUAAGGAAAACCCUGAUUGCUUUAUGAGACACGAGACACACUUAGAUACUGACACACGUAUACAUAUACACACAAGCACACGCACACACACAUGUUAUUCGUCUGUAGGUGCUGUUUGUCUGUAUGUAUGUAUCUAUCGAUCUGUUUAUAUAUAUAUGUGUAUAUUUAUUAUUUUUUUUAUUUAUUUAUGCACCCUUUUCAAGCAUAGCCAGGCUCAUGGGCCCGGUUUCCCGGUUUCUAUGGCGUAUGUGUUUCCCCUCAGCUGGACGGGACGCCAGUCCAUCACAGCGUUAUUCAAGAAACAGGAAGAGAGAGUGAGAGAAAGUUGUGGCAAAAGAGUACAACAGGGGUCGCCACCCUCACCCCCUGCCGGAACCUUGUGGAGCUUUUUUAGGUGUUUUCGCUCAAUAAACACACACAACGCCUGGUCUGGGAAUCGAAACCACGAUCCUCCGACUGCGAGUCCGCUGCCCUAACCAUAGGAGCCAUUGUGUGUGUGUGUGUGUGUGUGUGUGUGUGUGUGUGUGUGUCUCUCUCUCUCUCUCUCUCUCUCUAUAUAUAUAUAUAUAUAUAUAUAUAUAUAUAUAUAUAUAUAUAUAUAUAGUAUUUAGUAGAGUGCAUGUUUAUUAAGCUUUUAGUAGGAAAAUGAUUGACAGUGAUAUCGAAGUCUCACUUUGUUCGCCUUCGUCUCAGAUACAUGUAUACAUACAUAAAUACAUACACACAUGCGUGCUUAUAUACAUCUCUACAUACAUACAUAAAUAUAUAUAUAUAUAUAUAUAUAUAUACAUGCAUAUAUGCAUACAUCGUACAUGAAUACAAACGUACACGCACGCACACAUACAUACAUACAUACAUGCAUACAUACAUACAUACAUACAUACAUACAUACAUACAUACAUACAUACAUACAUACAUACAUACAUGCAUACAUACCAUUCAUUAUGUCCAUUCUAACAUAAAACACACUCAUACACACACACACAUACAUACGCGUACACAAACGUGCAAAAAUGUAAUAUAUGUACAUAUAUAUACUUGUGUGUGUGUGGAUGUGGAUGUGUGCGUGCACGCGCGUGUUUAUGCAUGCUUGUGUGUACGCGUGCGUGCAUGCGUCCGUGCAGCGUGUUUCACCAAUCAUCAUAUUACAAAAUACGCCUGCAUGUUAAUGUGUGUUUAUGCGCGUGUCCGCAUUUUGAAUCAGCAUUUGAAUAUAUGCGUACGUCUGUGUGUGUGUGUGUGUGUGUGUGUGUGUGUGCGUGCGUGCGUGCGCGUGUGUUUGAGUGUGUAGGCUUGCGUGUCUUCACGAGUAGAACCAUUAACGCGUUACAUAAUUAGAACUCAAUGGGUUUUUAAGGUUGAUAAAUAACCUUCUCACGCAAAUUACCUCAUUAAGAUAUUCGCUAAUUGUUCAUUUUUAAAGUCUGUAUAUAAGUUGAGUGUAUAAAAGCAAAUUAGUGCAACGAUCCGUGACAGAACGGGCGGAGAACUCUUCCUCCAUUCAUUCGCUGACGAGUAAUGAUAUCGCCCACAAUAAUAAUCCUUUCUCCUAAAGGAAUAAAGCCUUAAAUUUAGUGGGAGGAAAGGGCUCGUUGAUUACAUCGACCCCGGAGUACAAACUGGUGCAUAUUUUAUCUAACCCGAAACGAUGAGAAGCAAAGUCGACCUCGACGGUAUUUGAACUCCGAACAUAAAGACGGACGAAAUGCCGCUAAGCAAUAUUUCCGUCCGCUAACGAUUCUGCCAGCACACCGACUAUAAUGAUAAUAAUUAUGGUUUCAAAUUUUGGCACCAGGUCCGAAAUUUGGGGUUAAAGGACUAGUCGAUUACAUCGAUCCCAGUCUGAAAUUUGGGGUUAAAGGACUAGUCGACUACAUCGACCCCAGUGUUUCAUUUAUACUUAAUUUAUCGACCCUGAAAGGAUAAAAAGCAAAGUCGACCUCGGCGAAAUUUGAACUCAGAACGUAAAGACGGACGAAAUGCCACUAAGCAUUUGGCCCGGCGCUCUAACGAUUCUGCCAACUCGCCGACAACAGUAGCAAAAAUAAUAAUGGUUAUUGAUCUUCAUGUUGAUAUCUAUUGUAUUACAGUGUGAUAAAUAUAUAUAAUGGUAGUGAUAUAUUAUAUACGUAAAGCAUAUGUUAUACAUGUAUGUAUAUUGUUGUAAUUGUCAUUUUAGUGAAUAAAUAAAUAAAUUGAGAUAAUAUAAUGUCUAAAAGUUGAUGAAUAUUGAUCCCCUCCAUUUUCUUAUUGCUCUCUCUCUCUCUCUAUAUAUAUAUAUAUAUAUAUAUAUAUAUAUAUAAAGAGAGACAGACAGACAGAGAGAGAGACAGAAAGAGAGAGAGAGAGACAGACAGACAGACAGACAGACAGACAGACAGACAGACAGAGACAGAGAGAGAGAAAGAGAGAGAGAAAGAGAGAGAGCGAGAGAGUAGUUGGUUGAGCUUCAAAUUAUUUUCUAUUAUUCCGUUUUCGGUAUUUUUUAACAAUUUUUGUUUUGUUUUCUGUCGGUCGAUUCUACGGGUAUUUGGGAGCGAAAAUGGAUCUUAGUAUAUAUAUACGUGUAUGUGUGUGCGUAUGUAUACAUAACAUACACACACGCACAUACAUUUUAUAUGGUAGGUUUAAAGGGCACAAACAGGAGAGGUAGACGUCAAUACGUAAAUAGAUUGUAUGUAGGGCUUCAUUGUUCCGAAAUUAGUUUGAGAAGUUGACGCUUAUUUAGUUCCAUAGUUAACCAAGAAUACACACGGGCACAAAUGUGUGUCUGUAAACUAAUAUGUACACUUAUGUGUAUUUACAUGUAGACAUAUAUGCAAAUAAGUUUGUAUGCAUGUAUAUAUAUAUAUAUAUAUAUAUAUAUAUAUAUAUAUAUAUUUAUAUUUAUAUGUAUAUAUAUAUGUAUAUGUAUAUACACACACACACACACACACACACACACACACAUAUAUAUAUAUAUAUAUAUAUAUAUAUAUAUAUAUAUAUAUAUAUAUACAUAUUUAUAUUUAUAUGUAUAUAUGUAUGUAUAUGUAUAUACACACACACACACACACACACACACAUAUAUAUAUAUAUAUAUAUAUAUAGAUAGAUAUAUAGAAGCAUGUGUGUGUACAUGUAGUAUACAUGAAUGUAUGCUUUUACUCUUUUACUUGUCUUAAUCAUUUGACUGCGGCCAUGCUGGAGAACCACCUUGAAGGGUUUUAGUCGAGCAAAUCGAUCCCUGGACAUUUUUUUUUUAAAGCCUGGUACUUGUUCUAUUGGACUAUUUUGCCGAACCGCUAGGUUACCAGGACGUAAACAUGCUAACACCGGUUGUCAAGCGGUGAUGGGUGGGAGAACAAAGACACACACAUACACACAUAUAUACGACGGGCUUCUUUCAGUUUCCGUCUACCAAAUCCACUCACAAGGCUUUGAUCGGACCGAGACUGUUAUAGAAGACACUUGCCCAAGUUGAACCUGGAACCAUAUGGUUGGGAAGCAAGCUUCUUACCACACAGCCACGCCUGCGCCUGUCUGAAUAUUGUUUAUCUAUCUAUCUUUCUAUCUAUCUAUCUAUCUAUCUAUCUAUCUAUCUAUCUAUCUAUCUAUCUAUCUACCUACUUAUGAAGCUGUCUGUCUGUCUAUCUAUAUAUAUAUCUAUCUAUCUGUCUAUCUAUAUAUCUAUCUAUCUAUCUGUCUCUCUGUCUGUCUGUGUCUAUCUAUCUAUCUAUCUGUCUGUCUGUCUAUCUGUUUAUCUAUCUUUCUUUCUAUCUAUCUAUCACUUUCUCUGUAUAUCAUAUAUAUCUUUUAUCUUUCACCUAUUCUAGUCGUAGGACUGCAGCCAAGCUGGGACGUCGCCUUGAAGAAUUUAGUCAAACAAAUCGAUCCCACAUUCUAUUUUUCUUCUUUUAUGUGUGGUAGUUAUCUUGUCGGUUUCUUUCGCCAAGCCACUAAUUUACAAUGCUGCAAAAAGAAAAGAGAAAAACACCCGUUGUCCAACGGUAGUGGGUGGAUAGGGGGACAUGCACAAAUACAAAGACACAUACAUAUAUACAUACAUAUAUUUACACACACACACACAUAUACACGACGAGCUUCCUUCAGUUACUCUCUACCAAAUCCACUCACAAGGCUUUGGUCGACCUGAGACUAUAGUAGAGGACACUUGUCCAAGGUGUCACGUUGUGGGACUGAACCCGGAACCAUGUGGUCGGAAGCAAGCUCUUUAUAUAUAUAUAUAUAUAUAUAUAUAUAUAUAUAUAUAUAUAUAUAUAUCGUGGUUCACCUAUUGCGGACUCCUCAGUAUAUCGGUCGAUAUGGUAUUUAUAUUUUUAUUUAGAUUUUCAUUAUUUCUGUGGGCUUCUCCACAGUUUCCGUCAGUCAAACUCACUCACCAGGCAUUAGUCGGCUCGGGACUAUAGUAAAAGAGAUUUGCCCAGGGUGCGGCGCAAUGGGACUUGACUCGAAAGCACGUGACACACAACUAUGAUGUGUGUGAUUGUAUGUGUACACGCACAUUAAACUUUCUAAAAGUAAGAAGUAGCCAUUGAACUACCUUUCGGAUUACGCAAUUGCUUUAAAAAACUCUGACUCACAUCAGCUCACAUAUAAAGUUUGGAAAUAAAAACUGGCCGGUAUGGUCCUGGCUGGAGUUUCUUUGGUCAUAUGUUAUUUAUUCUUCAGGGUUGAUUUAUGGUUAGAUAGCAGUAACAACAACAACGAAAAUUGUUUGCUCGACGAGUUAUGAAGAGCCUUGCAUAAGUUGGGCAAUGACUGUCGCUUAUCCUGAUGGAAAUAAGUUGAUUAUAAAAUAAUUAAUUAAUUCACGGUCAUGAUUAAAUUUGUAGAUUUUACUGCUCAUAGUAGACAAGAAUAACGUUACAAAAAAAAAAAAAAAAAGAAAGAAAGAAAGAAAAAAGAAAAGCAGGCAGGAAGGAAGAAGAAAGAGAAAACACAAUGACUGAAAGGCAGACGACAUCUGAAAAGAAAUGGAAAAGAAGAAAAAUAUAUAAGGAAAAGUCAACAAAAGCAAUUGCAAAUGAAAAUGUGUACAAAAAUUUAUGUACCAUUUCCUUUCGAGGAGUGUAAAUCAUUAUUAAAGAGACUUUUAUUAUUUCAUGUGUGUGUGUGUGUGUGUGUGUGUGUGUGUGUGUGUGUGUGAUACAAUAUAUAUAUAUAUAUAUAUAUAUAUAUAUAUAUAUAUAUAUAUAUAUAUAUAUAUAUAUGAUAGUGGGACAGCAAUGCACUAAAAUUUAUUGGAAAUAGCAGUUGAUAAUAUUCGAAAUCUAGGUCCUCGAUUAACCUCAUCUGAGUUAUACAUUUAUUUAAUGUUCUUCUUACAGGAAAGAUGAAAUUUUUUUAGGUUCGCCGCCCGCAAACAUUUUUGCCUGUGUGUAUAUUAUAUAUAUAUAUAUAUAUAUAUAUAUAUAUAUAUAUAUAUAUAUAUAUAUAUAUAUACAGUGAAGCUUUAUUAUAGCGUCGUAUAUUAUUGACUGCUAUUUCCAGUAAAUAUUGGUACAUUGUUGUGCACUAUCCUAUAUUUAUAUUUGAACCCGAUGAUUUAACUGGGAACCAGCACUGCUGUAUUGCACUAUUUAAUAAUUUAUAUGUGUGUGUGUGUGAACAAAGAGAAUAUCUAUUAGAACUUGUAAAGUUCAUAAAACGCAUAAACAUUACUCUGAAUAUCUGGGGUUUUUUUCUGAACUUCGGACGAUAUCGAUAAUUAAUUAUAAUGACUGCUAUCCGACGAACGAGAAGGAUCUGCUUGUGGCUCAACAGUUUAUGAUUAUUUUAUAUUUUCCAGCUGGCGUAGGUGUGGCUGUGUGGUAAGAAGUUUGUUUCUCAAUCAUAUGGUUGCGGGUUCAGUUGCACUGCAUGGCACCUUUGUCGGGUGUCUUCUACUACAGCCUCAGGCCGACCAAAGCUUUGUUGAGUGGAUUUCGUAGACGGAAACUGAAAGAAUCCCGCCAAGAAACUUUACAGUUGGAUAUUAUGCUAUUUUCUUUCGUACUAUCGUUUCAUUGGGGUCAUCAUCAUCACCAUCAUCAUCAUCAUCAUCAUCAUCAUCAUCGUCGUCGUGACUAACACCGACUUCAUCCUCGUCAUAGUAUACCGUAAUAAUGGCUUUUGAUUUAGGCCUAAGUUUAGCAAUUUUGAAGUGAGGGAUAAUUGAUCAAUACCAUUGACCCAGAUAUUUGAUUGGUUCUUGAAUUUCUCGAUGCCGGAUGUAUGAAAAGCAAAGUUGACUUUGGCGAGAUUUGAACUCAGAACGUAAAGGACCAGAAUAUAUACCGCAAGAUAUCUGUGACCCGCUUCGGUCAUGAAUGACCAUGGGAUUGCACCUAGAAAGUUACCCUCCGAGGCACAAGUCUGGGCAAGGUUGUUUAUGGAAGAUCAGCAGUCGCCCACGCAUACCAGCCUCCCCUCUCCGCGCCACCGAUGUUAUCCAAGGGAAAGGCAAAGGCCGAUACAGCUUGGCACCAGUGACGUCGCAGCUCAUUUAUUAACGUGCAAGUGGCCGAGCAUUUCACAGACACAUGUACCCUUACCGUAGUUCUCGGGAAGAUUCAGCGUGACACAGAGUGUUACAAGGCUGGCCCUUUGAAAUACAGAUACAACAGAAACAGGAAGAAAGAGUGAGAGAAAGUUGUGGUGAAAGAGUACAGCAUGGUUCACCACCACCCCUACCAGAGCCUCAUGGAGCUAUAGGUGUUUUCGCUCAAUAAACACUCACAAUGCCCGGUCUGGGAAUUGAAACCGCGAUCCUCCGACCGCGAGUCCGCUGCCCUAACCACUAGGCCAUUGCGCCUCUACACCACAAGAUAUAUCCCUUCAGUUACUCUAAAGUUUCUAGCGCAGACCCAAAGAAGAACGUAUCUUUACGUAUUAAUUCUUGGGAAGAAUAUAUUAAAAUGCCUUUUUAUUUUCAAAACUUCUCUGGAGGCUACAAUUGCAUACUAAGAAUGGUUUUGAAUGUCAUCGUUUGACAAACAAGCGAUUGUAUGAGAAACUUCGUCCAAUCUCAGACAUCAUCAAAGAGCGUAGAGCCAGAUCCGCAGGGCAUUGCUGGAGAGCUAAAAACGAAAUUGUUAGUGAAGUUCUUUUGUGGGAGCCUACAAACGGGAGAGCUAGCAGGGGACGUCAAGUCAAGAUCUAUAUCAAGCAGAUUUGUGACGACAUUAACUGCAGCCCCUCGGACCUGCCGAAUACGAUGAGCAAUAGAAAUGGAUGGUGAAUGAGAAGCACAGAAAUCCGUACAAGCAAUACGACCGGAUUUGUGGAGGCCCACAGUAGAAAUUGAACUCGAGACUGUUUAGUAACGAUGCACUUAUUGUUGACGGUGAGUUGAUACGUUCUAUAUGUUAGGAUUUAUCUUGGCGGCGAGCUGGUAGAAGCGUUAUUACGCCGGGCGAAAUGCUUCACUGUAUUUCGUCUGUCUUUGCGUCCUGAGUUCAAAUUCCGCCAAGGUCGACUUUGCCUUUCAUCUUUUCGGGGUCAAUAAAUUAAGUACCAGUCGAUAAAUUAAGUACGCUCUUGGGUUGAUAUAAUCGACUUAAUCCCUUUGUCUGUCCUUGUUUGUCCCACCUCUAUGUUUAGCCCCUUGUGGGCAGUAAAGUAAUAUAUAUGUUAGGAUUUAUCUAGUCUGGGAAAUUUAAGAAUUAAAUACGUUCGAUCAGAUGGUUCUCAGCCAUUUCUUUUUUUUUUUUUUGCCAAUGGUUCCCUUUGAUUACUAACUUAUUCUGGUGGGCCCUCAUAGCCAACCAAAGUAAAAUAGCAUUCAAAGGGGUCUUCACUUGAAGAUGUUUGCCCUAAGCUGACAUGCAGUGGAACUGAACCCAAACCACAUCGUUGGUUAUAGACAUACAUACAUACAUACAUACAUACAUACAUACAUACAUACAUACAUACAUACAUACAUACAUACAUACAUACGUGUAUGUGUGUGAGUAUGUGUGUCUGUGAGUGUGUGAGUGUGUGUGUGUGUAAUUCACCGUCACUAAAAGUGACUAAGGGUGCUGUGAUGGUGAAUUAUUUCCGUUUGGGUUUUAAAUUGCGUCUAACCACCUUAAUUAUUGAGCGUGUGUGUGUGUGUAUGUGUGCGUGCGUGCGUGUGUGUGUGUGUGUGUGUGUGUGUGUGUGUGUGUUCGUGUUGUGUUUUACUCAUGCGAGGUUUUUUUUUUAUAACCUGGUAUAUUACACGAUAAUAUUUCUAGCAUUUUUUUUCUUUUCACUCACUUCGAGGUUCACCAGUAUUGGGAUAUAUUUCAUACAUGCUUGUAUAUAUAUAUAUAUAUACUUUCAAAGGGAAGCAUGUUGUAUACGUCAGUUUUGUUUUUAUAUGUAAAGUGCAGAAAACUCAGCUGAUAUGUAUAGUAAAUAAAUAAAUAAAUAAAUAAAAUAUAUAUAUAUAUAUAUAUAUAUAUAUAUAUAUAUAUAUAUACAUAUAUAGCUGUGUGUAUACACAUACACACACACACACACUCACACACCCAUUAAUCUCUGUAUAUUUAAAGAUUCGGCCAACUUAUUUUUAUACCACAACUUAACAUAUAUAACUAUUUCCGUGUCUGUUGUUGAGUAUUUUAGGAUCAGGCCUACUUGUCAGUCUGUCUGUCCGUUUGCCUGCACGCUCAUCCGUCUGUCUGCCUGCUUGCCUGCCUGUCUGCCAGCCUGCCUUCCCGCCCGCCCGCCCGCCCGCCUGCUAGGCCUGCAGGCCUGCCAGAUUGCCAGACUUUCACUUUCUACAUGUUUUACGUCAUACAAACGGACACACAGACACAGACCGUCAUUUUACGUGCGUAAAACAAACUUGAUACUCGCAAAAUAUAGUAAAUAGGCAUUGCAGUGGUGGUUAACAUUUCGGCUUUGAAAUCAGGUGAUUCUAAGUUCUAAUCUCUGGAGCGGUAAUUUUUUUAGGCAGAUUUUUUUUUGUGUUUUUUUUCUUUUGUUAAGCUUAGUACUAUGAAAAUGUUAUGGGGAUAAAUUGAUAGACAGUUAAUAAGUGUGCAGAAUCGCAUUAGCUCUGUGGGUACACACAAACACACACACACUCACACACACACACACACACACAAACACAUACAUACAUACAUGCGUGCACGCAUACAUACUUAUAAAAGCGUGCGGAAGAUAUUUUUUAGAUAAGUAUGUGUGUCCGUGUGUGUGCUUGUGUCUAUGUAUAAAUGAUUAGCAUAUAAAUAUAUAUAUAUAUAUAUAUAUAUAUAUAUAUAUAUAUAUAUAUAUAGAGAGAGAGAGAGAGAGAGAGAGAGAGAGAGAGAGAGAGAGAUAGAUAGAUAGAUAGAUAGAUAGAUAGAUAGAUAGAUAGAUAGAUAGAUAGAUAGAUAGAUAGAUAGAUAGAUAGAUAGAUAGAUAGAUGUAGAUAUAGAUAUAUAGCGGCUGUGGUAAUAAGCUUGCUUCCCAACCACAUGGUUCCGGGCUCAGUUCUACUACGUGGCACCUCGGGCAAGUGUCUUCUACUAUAGCCUUGGGUCGACCAAAGCAUUCUAAAUGGAUUUGAUUGACGGAAACUGAAAGAAGCCCGUCGAAUAUAUAUAUACGUGUAUGUACUUGUGUGUCUGUGUUUGUACCGCACCCCUACCAUAACUUGACAACCGAUGUUGGUGUGUUUACGUUCGGAAAAGAGAACGAUAGAAUAAGUACUAGGCUUAGAAAGAAUAAUUCCUGGGAUCGAUCUGUUCGAUUGAAGUCAGUGCUCCAGCAUGGCCUCGGUUAAAUGACUGAAACAAAUAAAAGAAUAAAAGUCUAUGCAUAUAUAAAUGUGUGUGUGUGUGUGUGUGUAAGGUGGAAAGAAAAAGGAUUUGACUUGUUUGGAGGCAUGCAGCUUAAUGGUUAGGAGGUUCCUGGACCGGGCUAUAUUUUAUAUUUUGUCAGCAAAACACAUUUCACAUUUUGUUCCAGUCCACUCAACUGACGAGAAAUGAAUAUUCCUGCGAUGGACUGUCGUCCCAUCCAGGAGCAAGGAUGGAAUAUAUAUACACAGAACUCUUCUCCCCCACUACCAAAAAAAAAA